rfam:Paenibacillus sp. Soil787 contig_29, whole genome shotgun sequence.
AAACACGGUUGAAACAGGAUUUGCCAUGCGAAGUCAGCAGAGGCCAUAGUACCUCAUGUAGCUUGGCGACAUGGGAAGGGC